UCCAUUAGCUCUACCUCUGUGCAACUCUCACAUGGUUGCCCACUGAAGCUAAGCAGGGCUGCACCAGGUCAGUACCUGGAUGGGAGACCACAUGGGAAUGCUAGGUUGCUGCCAGAA
ensembl:rRNA 5S_rRNA 5S ribosomal RNA